rnacentral:rRNA from 1 species
AGAGUUUGAUCAUGGCUCAGAACGAACGCUGGCGGCGUGCUUAACACAUGCAAGUCGAACGGGAUCCAGAGCUUGCUCUGGUGAGAGUGGCGCACGGGUGAGUAACGCGUGGAUAACCUGCCCUGGUAUCCGGAAUAACAUCUCGAAAGGGGUGCUAAUACCGGAUAAGCCUACGGAGCCUUCGGUCUCUGCAGGAAAAGGUGGCCUCUAUUUAUAAGCUACCGUAUCAGGAUGGGUCCGCGUACCAUUAACUAGUUGGUGGGGUAAUGGCCUACCAAGGCGACGAUGGUUAGCUGGUCUGAGAGGAUGAUCAGCCACACUGGAACUGAGACACGGUCCAGACUCCUACGGGAGGCAGCAGUGGGGAAUUUUGCGCAAUGGGGGAAACCCUGACGCAGCAACGCCGCGUGAGUGAUGAAGGCUUUCGGGUCGUAAAGCUCUGUCAGAGGGGAAGAAAUGAGAUUGGCUAAUAUCCAAUUUUCUUGACGGUACCCUCAAAGGAAGCACCGGCUAACUCCGUGCCAGCCGCCGCGGUAAUUC